AGAGUUUGAUCCUGGCUCAGGACGAACGCUGGCGGCGUGCUUAACACAUGCAAGUCGAGCGGUAAGGCCCUUUUGGGGGUACACGAGCGGCGAACGGGUGAGUAACACGUGGGUGACCUGCCCCUUACUCUGGGAUAAGCCUGGGAAACUGGGUCUAAUACCGGAUAGGACUUCAUGCUGCAUGGUGUGGGGUUGAAAGUUUUUUCGGUGGGGGAUGGGCCCGCGGCCUAUCAGCUUGUUGGUGGGGUGAUGGCCUACCAAGGCUUCGACGGGUAGCCGGCCUGAGAGGGCGUCCGGCCACACUGGGACUGAGACACGGCCCAGACUCCUACGGGAGGCAGCAGUGGGGAAUAUUGCGCAAUGGGCGGAAGCCUGACGCAGCGACGCCGCGUGGGGGAUGACGGCCUUCGGGUUGUAAACCUCUUUCGGCCUCGACGAAGCCUUCGGUUGACGGUAGGGGUGGAAGAAGCACCCGGCCAACUUCCUUGCCAGCAGCCGCGGUA
rnacentral:rRNA from 1 species